rnacentral:misc_RNA from 1 species
UAGCUGGAUCCAUCGUUAAAGUGAUAC